AGGCGUACCCAAGCAAAUAGAAACAAUAGGGUCAAUCAAAAGAUGACUCACACAGGAGGAUCCAAAAGUAUUGCUACCUUGAUGGAUGAGCAGGCUGUAAAUGGGGUAGAACCUACACGAGCACAAAUUUUCUUAUUAACUCAUAAACAAUGUAAGGAUGGUAGACCACUGGAUGUUGAUUCUGCCAAUGCAAUCGAAAUGAUAAAUGAAAGGAUGAAUAAUAGUGAGCGCUCCACUGAUCAACCUCCUCGCAGUGUUGCUUGGGAAGGCCAUGUGUAUUCCCAGGUGUUCGGAAAAUGACAAAAGUGGGUAUGUUCGUGGUUUAGGACUUGUUCCAACUCCUUCUGUUCUAUGGGGUAGUAGAUCUUCCUUAGGAAAUAUUAUUGCAGAGGGUUCGUCUAAUGAGGCCGUACAAAGGUUAACACAGGAGAUAACCGAGUUAAAGGAUAAACACAAUGAAGAAAUGAAUCUGAUGAAACAAAAUCAGGAGAAGAUGCAAUCAGAAUUACUCCAAAUGAGAUAUUUGAUGCGCAAAUAUGUUUUUAAUGAAUCUAUGCCUCAAAAUAUCAAUGGCACCUCAAGUGAAUAGGUCCUUGAUGCCAACAGUGGCCAUGAACGAGUACCACAAACAUCAAGGAUACCUAGUGUUGCUGAAAAUACUUCACUGUCUCAAGGAGUCAAUUGAAAGUGAUUUAAAAAGUUUGCGUGCAAAUUGAAGUUAAAAUGGAAGAUUUUGGAGGAAAUAUGACUUUGGUAGCCAGGUUCGCGCCAGGCACCAACCAAAACGCCAAGGCAGCAAAGCACAAAAGUGAAAAAAGUUUGGCGCCAGGCACCAACUAAAAUGUCGUUGACAGCAGGCUAAAAAUUCACUGUCCAGCUUCGCACCAAGUGCAAUUCGUGAUGCCCAAGGGCAGAUUUCGUCCUAAUUCGAUUGGGACUUGGUGAUUUCAACUCUACACAUCCCCAACAUGUAUAAAAGGGGUUCUAAAUAUAUUUUUUUUUGUUGGGGAGGGGGUGAUACAUUAUUUGGAAGCAAGAACAUCACGUGGAAUAACUUUUGGAGGAGAAUAUUAUCGAGUUCUUCAUUCCUUCAUUUUUUGUAAUUUGUUUAUGCAAAAUACUUGGAUAUUUGUUACUAUAAACAUGAGUGACUAAGCACUCUAGU